rnacentral:rRNA from 1 species
AUGCGGAGGGUGCAAGCGUUAAUCGGAAUUACUGGGCGUAAAGCGUACGUAGGCGGUUAUUUAAGUCAGAUGUGAAAGCCCCGGGCUUAACUUGGGAACUGCAUUUGAAACUGGGUAACUAGAGUUUAGUAGAGGGGAGUGGAAUUUCAGGUGUAGCGGUGAAAUGCGUAGAGAUCUGAAGGAACACCAGUGGCGAAGGCGACUCCCUGGACUAAAACUGACGCUGAGGUACGAAAGCGUGGGUAGCAAACAGGAUUAGAAACCCGAGUAGUCC